rnacentral:rRNA from 1 species
UACGAAGGGGGCUAGCGUUGUUCGGAAUUACUGGGCGUAAAGCGCGUGUAGGCGGGUCUUUAAGUCAGGGGUGAAAUGCCAAGGCUCAACCUUGGAACUGCCUUUGAUACUGGAGAUCUUGAGUCCGGGAGAGGUGAGUGGAAUUGCGAGUGUAGAGGUGAAAUUCGUAGAUAUCGUAAGGAAGACCAGUGGCGAAGGCGGGUCUCUGGACAGUUCCUGACGCUGAGGCACGAAGGUCAGGGGAGCAAACGGG